UAAUUACAUACAAAUUAUACUCAUAUAAAUUAAAGGAUAUGGCUUUAGAGUUUCUACCGCUUCACCGUAAAUGAUGCGACUAUGAGUAAUUAAAUAAAGAGG
rnacentral:ncRNA from 2 species